rnacentral:lncRNA from 1 species
CACGCUGCAUUGUUCAUGUCAGUGGAAAUUAAGAAAUGCUCAUCAAUAGGGAUAUAAUAGGGUAGAUUCAUACCAUGAAAUGUAGUUAAAAUAUUUGGCUAACUUACCUUUGACAUCAUGUUUUAAAAUGUUUACAUUCAGUAAACAUAAUAUGGAGUGAAGAAAUAACUGUCAAGUUGCAGAAUGAUCCUUUUAGCGUGUCACCAAAGUCACAGAUUUUCAGUCACACAAAAGCAGGGCCGUGUAUUGUUUAUGCCUAUAUGCAUGUGUGCAGAAAAUAUAAACACCUGGACGGGAAGAGACACUCCAAUCUCAGGGUGAGGCUACCUUUUGGAGGGGACAAGGGGGCGUGGCCAGGGAGGAGCACAGAGGAAGCUGGGCCUAGGAUGACCAUUCAAUUUCUUAAGGAAAUAAGAUCUAAAGAAAUUUGGCAACAUGAUAAUACUUCUUAUAUCUGGGUAGUGCUAUUAACUGUUAGCUCUAGUGUCAUCUACACUUCUCUAUCAAUGUGAAAUACUUUGACAAUGACCAGGAAGCAUUUUUGAAGGAUCUAUUUUCUAAAGGAUCAAUUUUAAUCAAUCACUAUUUAAAUAAUAAUCAAGACAAUGGCCACCAAGUGCAAACAACUGACACAAUGUUUUUGUUAUUUUGUUUAUUUUGUUGCUUUUGGCUGAUGUGGAUGGAAAUUAGCUGCAAACAGCUGUGAAAGGAGAACAGCCCGUUGCCUCCUGGACUGGAUCGAACCAGCUCACCUGCUCCACGUUGCUCAUUUCUCUCAGCAAAUCCAAGGACUCAGAAGGAACCCUUCACCAACUGCCCAUUCCCGCAUGCCGACCUGCAGAGCUAACUCCAAGCUUGCUCCACCCACCUUCUGUCACCACCGUCCCUUUUCUUGUCUCAAAAGUCAUCAUGAAAAUGCAAAUGUUGCCACAAUUUGUUGAAAAAAUAACAAAAUUAUAGUAUGUGAAAGAGUAUCUUGAAAAUUGAAUUGGAAAUUUCUCUGAUUUUUGCCUUAACACUGUAGAAUUUUAUUUCUAGAAUUUUACCUUAUUUUCUUAUUUUUUUCCCACCAGGCAAUAGAGAAAUCAGCUAUCUUAUGACUUCAGACAUCUCUUGAUUUUCUAAAAUGAACCCUAAACUUAAUACAUCCAAAAUGGAAUGCAAGCUCUCUACCUGAAACAAAGUAAAAUUUUAAAUAAGUAAAUAUUCUUUUCCAAGGUUCUAGGUUCCUGAGAAUAGCAUAACCACCCCAAGAUCCAGGAAUCUUCCUUGACAUCUCCCUCCCUCUCGCCUGCCUCAGGGAUCCACCACCAAUCCUCUCUGUUCCACCUCCUCCCAAACCCAAGGGAAUACAGGUGAAUUAUUCCUUAUCCAAAAUGGUUGGGACCAGAAAAGUUUCAAAUUUCAGAUACUUUAGUAUUUUGGAAUAUUUUGCAUAUACAUAAUAAGAUAUCUUGGGGAUAAGACACAAAUCAAAGCACGGAUUUCAUAUAUGUUUCAUAUAUGCUUUAUUCACAUAGCCUGAAGGUGAUCUUACACAAUAUUUCUGGUAAUUUUGCACAUGAAUUAAAGUUUGUAUUAAG